rnacentral:rRNA from 1 species
GACGAACGCUGGCGGCGUGCUUAACACAUGCAAGUCGAACGGAAAGGCCCUGCUUUUGUGGGGUGCUCGAGUGGCGAACGGGUGAGUAACACGUGAGUAACCUGCCCUUGACUUUGGGAUAACUUCAGGAAACUGGGGCUAAUACCGGAUAGGAGCUCCUGCUGCAUGGUGGGGGUUGGAAAGUUUCGGCGGUUGGGGAUGGACUCGCGGCUUAUCAGCUUGUUGGUGGGGUAGUGGCUUACCAAGGCUUUGACGGGUAGCCGGCCUGAGAGGGUGGCCGGCCACAUUGGGACUAAGGUACGGCCCAGACUCCUACGGGAGGCAGCGGGGGGGAAUAUUGCACAAUGGGCGGAAGCCUGAUGCAGCAACGCCGCGUGCGGGAUGACGGCCUUCGGGUUGUAAACCGCUUUCGCCUGUGACGAAGCGUGAGUGACGGUAAUGGGUAAAGAAGCACCGGCUAACUACGUG